AUUGAACGCUGGCGGCAGGCUUAACGCAUGCAAGUCGAGCGGGGUGAUGUAGCUUGCUACAUUACCUAGCGGCGGACGGGUGAGUAAUGCUUAGGAAUCUGCCUAUUAGUGGGGGACAACAUUCCGAAAGGAAUGCUAAUACCGCAUACGCCCUACGGGGGAAAGCAGGGGAUCUUCGGACCUUGCGCUAAUAGAUGAGCCUAAGUCAGAUUAGCUAGUGGGUGGGGUAAAGGCCUACCAAGGCGACGAUCUGUAGCGGGUCUGAGAGGAUGAUCCGCCACACUGGGACUGAGACACGGCCCAGACUCCUACGGGAGGCAGCAGUGGGGAAUAUUGGACAAUGGGCGCAAGCCUGAUCCAGCCAUGCCGCGUGUGUGAAGAAGGCCUUUUGGUUGUAAAGCACUUUAAGCGAGGAGGAGGCUACUUGGAUUAAUACUCUAGGAUAGUGGACGUUACUCGCAGAAUAAGCACCGGCUAACUCUGUGCCAGCCGCCGCAGUAAAAC
rnacentral:rRNA from 1 species